rnacentral:rRNA from 1 species
AGUGAACGCUGGCGGUAGGCCUAACACAUGCAAGUCGAACGGCAGCACAGUAAGAGCUUGCUCUUACGGGUGGCGAGUGGCGGACGGGUGAGGAAUACAUCGGAAUCUACUUUUUCGUGGGGGAUAACGUAGGGAAACUUACGCUAAUACCGCAUACGACCUACGGGUGAAAGCAGGGGAUCUUCGGACCUUGCGCGAUUGAAUGAGCCGAUGUCGGAUUAGCUAGUUGGCGGGGUAAAGGCCCACCAAGGCGACGAUCCGUAGCUGGUCUGAGCGGAUGAUCAGCCACACUGGAACUGAGACACGGUCCAGACUCCUACGGGAGGCAGCAGUGGGGAAUAUUGGGCAAUGGGGGAAAGCCUGAUCCAGCAAUACCGCGUGAGUGAAGAAGGACUUCGGGUUGUAAAGCCCUGUUGUUGGGAAAGAAAAGCAGCAGGUUAAUACCCCGCUGUCCUGACGGUACCCAAAGAAUAAGCACCGGCUAACUUCGUG